AAUUCAUUAAAUAUUAAAAUACUUAUUUUUAUUAAAAUCUAUUUUGAAGAAUCAAAAUGACUACCAUACAAGAAGAAAUAAAAGAUUUUGUUCGACGUGCUGUUAUUGCAACAGAACCGCAAGAAGCUGUUAAGGAAUAUUUCUUGUCGAAGCAAGAAGACCGUGAUAUUAAGUAACGAAAAAAUUAUUUCAUAUAAUUGUUUUUUGAUACAUUACAAGUAUAUUCUGUGUAUUCUUUUAUUUUCAGUUCGAUAACAAUUAGGAAACUGAUGUAAAAUUCUAUGAAAAAGUAUCCUGAAUGGGAUAAGCCAAGAGUUUACCCAGCAUUCGAAGUAGUAAGAGCGCGUUGUGAAUUAGAAAAAACCGAAGCUAGAUUACAUGCGAAAUGGUUGGAACAACAAAAAAAACGAAAGCUUAUGGAUGAGCAAUGGCAGCAGAUGAGAAAUCAGGAAUUGAUCUUCCGGGAAUCAUUUAUAAAAUUCAAUAGAUUCGUGAAGGAAAAUCAAGAGAAACGUGAUCGUGCUGAUAUUAAAAUUAAAGAAGAACGUGAACGUCAAACGAUUAGACAAGAAGAAAUAAAACAGAUAAAUGAAAAUUUAAAACACAUGUAUGAUGUUCGAGACAGAAUGAAGAAACAUGUACAAGAAUAUCAAAAAUAUUCACAUUAUUUAGACAGAGUUAUUAUCGAAACAGGAGAAUUUCAAUCAAUUUCUGAGAUUUUUAAUCGAUACGAAACAUUAAUAGAAGCACGAUCAAUUUUAACCGAACAUCAAAAUAAGAAUCUUCGAUUAUUAGAAGAAAGAGGAACAGAAAUGCAUCAUAUGUCAGAAUCAAAAGCACAACAAAUUCUAGGAUUGAAUAACACGUUGGCACAAUUACAAGCAAGACGCGAUAAAGCAGAAGUACAAGCUCGUAAAUGGGAAUCAAUUGUUGCUGAAAUAAAAGUAACUGCAAUGGAAAAAAAUUUGGAGCAUACACAAGUGAAAACAUGUUGCUGGAAUCUAUAUCAACAAAUCUGCAAGAAAAAGGAUAUUCCCGUGACUGUGAGCAAAGACGAUAUCGAGCAACAAUUAGAUCAAAUUAAACGAACAAUUAUUGAAUUAAAAUCGAUCAUGAAAAUUGCAAAAAAACGUGUAACAAAAUAAGAAACACAGUUUAUUUGAAAUUAUUUGUUCAACUAUGUGUAAAUAAUAUUCUAAAGAAAUAAAAUAUAUUGAUAAAUAUCUUAUUACUUAUUUUAUAGUAUUUUUACCAGUUUUAUGAAUUGCAUGACUAUGUUGAAGAUUCAGCCGAUUAUCUUCUGCCGUAGCUGCUUCGCGCGUCAAUGGCUGUUCCAAACCUUCGGAUACAAUUUGUAAUUCUUCUUUUUCGACGCAUCUAUAUGAUUUGAUGAUUUUUUUUAACAGGAAAGAGAAGGAUAAUAAGAAAAGGAAAUGGAGAAAAAUAGAUGGAAUGAAAGGACUUACAAGGCACAAGGUUGAGUGGGAGCAAUAUAUUCAAUAGGAGGCACUUUCAAUCUAGGUCUUCUUUCUUCGUCAAUUCGCAAUUGUUGCGUUUUCGUAGUUCUAUCCAGCCAAUAUACUUUGUGGAACAUUUGUGUAAUUUGUUUUUCAAUAAUUCCUAAAUAUAGCAUUACAUUACU
rnacentral:misc_RNA from 1 species